rnacentral:rRNA from 1 species
GCAAGUCGAACGAGAUCUUCGGAUCUAGUGGCGCACGGGUGAGUAACAUGUGGGUAUCUGCCCUUUGGCCUGGAAUAACACGAGGAAACUUGUGCUAAUACCGGAUAAGUCUUUACGGAGAAAGCUUUAUGCACCAUUGGAUGAGCCCGCACUUGAUUAGUUUGUUGGUGGGGUAAUGGCCUACCAAGACUGUGAUCAAUAGCUGAUUUGAGAGGAUGAUC